AAGUCGUAACAAGGUUUCCGUAGGUGAACCUGCGGAAGGAUCAUUCAUAAUUUUCCCCAUUAUAUUUAUUUUUUUUAAGUGCUGUGGUUCCCCUGAGAAUAUAUUGUCUUUGUUGAAAUUGUUUCAAUCAAAGCAGUAAAAGGUGGAGGGCAGCUUGGGUAGGAGGAGUAAUAUUCCAAAACCCAAAAUUUAUGUGAACUGUAAUCAGCCGGAAGGUGUUUGUCAUUCUUUGAAUCACACCUCCCUGAUCUUCUUUCUUUUAUUAAUCUGUAAAUAAGAGAUAAUGUAACAAACAGUUGUUACAGAACAUAAAUUUUUAAUUAAAAAAGUCUUUUCUUUUUUUUUAAUGAUAAAAAUUUAAUAACAACUUUCAACAAUGGAUCUCUUGGCUCUC
rnacentral:misc_RNA from 1 species